CUAGGCUGUGCAAGACAAAAUUGGAAAAGUUAAAUUCACUUCGUAUGUUAUUUGUUCUGAAAGGAAAAGUUCUGCAGAAGAUAAGACAACCGGGAUUGUCUCACUUCCUUACAACGAGGCAAUGAAUGUUAUUCUUGUGUGCUUACAACAGAAAUUGGAAUUGGAGGUGUUGUAUGUUGUUCUGAGAAACUUUCCAGAGGCACUGCAAGAUAAAAACUUGAUACAUUCUUGAAAGCACUACUUGCGUUAAAUAUGUACAGUGUUAUCUAAAAUGGUUUGAAAUUAUGAUUUUCUUCCUGGAUUAUUUCGUGUUCC